rnacentral:rRNA from 1 species
CCUACGGGUGGCAGCAGUGGGGAAUAUUGCACAAUGGGGGAAACCCUGAUGCAGCGACGCCGCGUGAGUGAAGAAGUAAUUCGUUAUGUAAAGCUCUAUCAGCAGGGAAGAAAAUGACGGUACCUGAGUAAGAAGCCCCGGCUAACUACGUGCCAGCAGCCGCGGUAAUACGUAGGGGGCAAGCGUUAUCCGGAUUUACUGGGUGUAAAGGGGGCGUAGACGGCAGUGCAAGUCUGGAGUGAAAGGCGGGGGCUCAACCCCCGGACUGCUCUGGAAACUGUACGGCUGGAGUGCAGGAGCGGUAAGUGGAAUUCCUAGUGUAGCGGUGAAAUGCGUAGAUAUUAGAAGGAACACCAGUGGCGAAGGCGGCUUACUAAACUGUAACUGACGUUGAGGCUCGAAAGCGUGGGGAGCAAACAGGAUUAGAUACCCUUGUAGUC